GAUAUUUCACGGCAAUAUUAAAAUGAAUCAAGAAAGAUAUCGAACUUCCUUAUAUGACAUCUGAUUCUAAUUGUGAUUAUGAUUCUUGGGAUCAUAGUGUAGCUCCAGUCUGCAUUUCAAUCCGAUUAAAUCUGAUAAACAAGCUAACAAGCUGAGGUGUCCCGAUCAAUUAUUAUCAAUAAUUAUUUGGCUUAUGAUUAAUCUCUUCCUUUUAAAGGUUUAAUGGUCUGAGCUUUUGCAUACUAAAAUAAUUAAUAAUAAAGUCCUUUUUAUUGUUUCUAAAGAUGAUAUUAUACAAAAUAGAUGAUAUUAUAUCUGAAUUACUUCUGUCAUUACAUUUAUUAAAAUAACACAAUACUUGAGAAAUUCUGAUCUUAUUCAGAAAUGUAUCCACCAUGGUCUUCUACCGCCUUUGUAAUUAUUACUAUGAGUAUGAAGGUUGAAGGUACUUAAUAUGUACAUCUACGACGAGUAGACUCGAUUGAGUUGGCGACAUCAAUUAACAUCUACUGCUCGAUUCCACUUUCAUUUAACAAAAUUAAAAUAGUUUUGCAUGGCUAGUGACUAUUCUUUAAAUUAUCUACCACUCCCUUACCUGUUUUUGUUGGAAUAAAAUACAUAAUAAAGAAACCACUAGCCCAUUCAAUUAGUAUGCAAUUCAUUUGAAGUCUUCUCAAUAAUAAUAUAUUUUAAUAUUUUUAACCCUAGGUUUGGGUCAUCGCAUGUACAUGACAUAGAUACAUACACAAUUCAGAAGUUAAGUUAAUAUUUAUCUAAUUAGUUUAUAUCAAAUCGCUAAUCUGUGACUGUCCACACUAUGAAUCAAUGGUUGAAUAAUAAUAGGAAGUCCUUAUACCUAUAGGGUAUGGCUUAGGUGCAAACAUAUAUAUUAUAAUAGCCUGGUGGCUUAUAGUAAACAGUUUUGCGUUUGCAAUUUACUGUUAUACAAGUUGAUAUUUAUUGAUUCUCUGAUGACAAUCUCUAGAUUGGAAUGUUAAUUGGGAUUGAAUCAAGAUACUGUGCUGAGUUACAUGAACAGAAAAAGUAAGUGAAUAUUAUUUAAACAUAAUAUUUAUAUUCGGCAGUUCUUUAUUCGUUUACAAUCCUUUUAACCGUUUAUUUUUUAGGACAGCAAUAUCAUGCAUGCCAACUGUUAAAUCUAGCGAGAGCCCCAUAUUGGCAGUUUGCUGGUGCCAUUGGAGUGGCUGCGCGAUUCUGAUUGGGUCUCAAUGAUGGUCCUGGUCCUUUGAGUUUGGGUAGCCAUGUACAUAUUAUGACAUCAAAUUGUAAUCUGAUUUCAAGUGCCUCCUGCAUUUUCAUUAAGGCACGUUACAGGUUACUACAUCUAAAUGAUACCUAUAACUUCUAAGAAACCAACCCGUACCAAUACCUUACAACUGUAACAACAAACAACAAUGAGGCAAGACAUUCCUUAACAUCUCUUAUGUUAUGAGUGGUUCUAGUCCUUCAAACGAAGUGAAAGGGUUGAUUUCGAAUUUUGAAUUACACGCAAUGCGAAUGCUUCUGAUUUUAGCUUAGUGAAGAUAUGGAUGCGCAAAACAUACGAUUAUAAUAGCCUAGUUUGGUUGUUUGGAAGAUGUCGCUCUUCAGCGAUAAGACCGCUUGUUGUGCACCAUAGUUUGAGUUAUGUGCUUAAUCUGUAUGUUAUUUUCGUUUUUAUAUUGGUGAGCAACAAAGAAUAUUUGUACUGUAUUAUUUUAUUAAUCUUGAUAAAAUAAAUUUUGUUUCAUUCUAAGAGAAUAUUUAUGGAUCAUAUAAGUAUAUCGAACGAAUGUUAAAUCUGGUUUCUACCUAAUACGUUAAACAUGAUACAUUCGUUUUCUAAAAAGACACGCAGUAUAAAUUGUUUCCAUCCACCACGCACACUUGCGCACACGACGAGUCAAAUCAGGGCUGAGCUGAUAAUUUGUGAUAAAGCGGAUAUUCUGCAAGCAAUGCGUGUUAUACAAAAGCAUCAUUCAUAAGAGAUUAUGGUCCUUUUCACAAAAUGUUAUAAACACCAAUAUAACUAGAUCCCGAAGUUACAGAAAAUAUACCAAAUCGGGGGUCAGACCUAAACUGGUUUGUAAGCAACAACAGUCGGCAAAUAAACUUUAAAUUUGAUACUAUUAACUAUAACAACUAUUCCGCCAAACAGAACAAUGAAUGAGAGAUUUUGAUUCUUAUUAUUUUAAUAUUAAAAUGUUAAUUAUUUUGUUAAUGAAUUGUUGAUCAACAGCAUGAUUUGAAUCUGUGAUAAAGUCGCUGUUUGAAAGGAUGUAUCCUGGGUCACAACACAAAUUGACCAGCAAAUUUUAAUUCAAAAUGUCGUAAAUGUUUAUUAGUGCAUGAUUUUAUUUAAUUUAUAUCAAAGAUUGGUCAGGCAACUAAAUCUAAACACGUAGGUAAAGUACCUUGUCCCCUACAUAAUCAAAUAUAAAUAUCAAAAUUAACAUAACGUAUAGGUACCUAAAUAUAGAUUAUAGUUAAACCUCUUGUUUAACUUAAACUUAGGUUUGAGCAGUUUGACCUGUUAGGUAUGAGCAGGUAUGGUAAUGGCACCAUUCAUUAGACAUUUAAGAGAACAAUUGGAUAAUUGCUGACACUUCACCGAUAAUUGAAAAAUUUCUACCGCUUUGGGCGUUAAAAUUUGAGUUGAAUGUCCUUUCACCUUUUAUUAUUUUCGACAUGUUUAAUGAAAUAUGUAGUUAGGUACUUGGUUUCAAUAUAAUGAAAUGUGAGACUUAAGAGUUCUAAGGCUCUUGUUGAAGGUAAAAUGUUACUAAGUCAGUGUUUAAAAACUGAUGAUAAAUACUUGUUUUAUAGGAUUUAUAGUAAACACGAAUUACGAAUGUUUACUGAGACUUACCUGAUUCAUAAAUGAUUACUGAUUACCUUUUAUUAUUCAGUAGAGAUAACUAUAUUUUCUGAUGUGACAAUCUUUGCCACUCUCUCAUUCUUUUAACAUAGAAAUGUUGAAUCUGUUUAGUAACGUCACAUAUAAUCAUGAGCGUAAAAGUAAAAUCUUGAGCGUUGCGAGUGUUUCAAGGCACGUGAGUUGAAAACAAACUUUGCUGCUCUGGUAAAACAUAAACAUUUUUAUCACAUCAAUUAUUGUCAAAUACUGGUUCUAAAACAUAAAAAUUUAAAUAUUUAUAUCAUUCAAAACCAUAACAUGAAAUUCCAUUCCAUUCCACUGCUUAUAGCUGCUAUAGGGCUAAUAAACACACUGUUUUCAAAGAUUAAAGAGAGCUUUUUAAUUCAGACUACCCUUUGUCGCAAAAUAUUAAUAAUCGUGAAAGUAUGUAUUUAUAUAUCUGCUUUUUAUAAACUAUAUUAUGAUACCUACUGACACUUGCAAUCUCUUGUAUAUCAAAGAGCAAGAAUGUUCAGUUAAAAUGUAUGUAGGUACUCACUCAAUUGCCUAUGUGCUCAGGUGAACCACUAACAUUCGCCUGCUGAAUACCUUUUUGGUAGAAAUAAUAUAAAUAUGGGCUUCAUGGUUGAAAUAAAACAUUAAAUUGAAUUAAAUAAACCAAAUAUUGUAGCUCUUUAGUUGUACGCGCGUAAAUAAAUUGACUUUUCAUAUGUUAGAGAUAAAUAUAUGUUACUUUUGAUGAUGAUAACAGUGCAUGUGAAUAAAAAUUCCCAGCAUGCUCCACCAUGUCGUCAAGCUCACCAUACUUAUUAACCUAUCGAAUGAGCUAAUGGUUUUACGGAUACUGGAAAGCGAUAUGUAAAUGUACUACAUACCUAUACGAGGCCUGGAUGUUAGUGAGAUGACGAUAUGAGUUGUGCUGGUGUCCGACUUUAUUACCUACAUAUAACAUGAGUAUCACAUGAUUAUCCACCUGGUUUCUUGAGCUUAAUAGUCGCCUCCAAACCUCCCCUUAUAGCGACCCCUUUCCUCACACAAAGUUUACCUUAAGUUCAUAUUAGCCUCACUGGAUCACUGUUCACUCUGAGUACUGAUAACGUUGGUCACAAUAUACUAGAGACACAUCAUUAUUCUAAUAACACCAUAAGAACGUUCUUGACUUGAUCUAAAAGCAAAUAUCACUGCCCCGUCGAUCUGUUCGCACACAACCUCCUUUUUCCUACUGACGUUCUCAUGGUGUUAUUAGAAUAAUGAUGUGUCUCUUGUUGAUUGUGACCAACGUUAUCAGUUCUCAGAGUGAACAGUGAUCCAGUGAGGCUAAUAUGAACUUAAAGUAAACUUUGUGUGAGGAAAGGGGUCGCUAUAAGGGGAGGUUUGGAGGCGACUAUUAAGCUCAAGAAACCAGGUGGAUAAUCAUGUGAAACUCAUUUACAUGCAGGUAAUAAAGUCGGACACCAGCACAACUCAUAUCGUCAUCUCACUAACGUCCAGGCCUCGUAUAGGUAUGUAGUAUGUUUACAUAUUGCUUUCCAGUAUCCGUAAAAGCAUUAGCUCAUUCGAUAGGUUAAUAAGUAUGGUGAGCUUGACGACAUGGUGGAGCAUGCUGGGAAUUUUUAUUCACAUGUACUGUCAUCAUCAUCAAAAGUAACAUAUGUU